AUCACUACUACAAAUUUAUGAUUUAGCGGCAUUUACUCCGCAGCAUUUAUUUAAUUUAUGCUAAUUAAUAUAUUUAACGGCAUUACUUGAUAAGUGCCGCGAAAUUAAAUAAUUUAGCAGCAAUUUACUAUUAAUGUUGCAAAAUAGAAUAAAUUAGCAGCAUAAAUUAGUAAAUGCCGCCGAAGUUUCCAGCAUUUUAUAAAAAAUGACACUAAAUGUAAUAAAAUAGCAGCACUUAUUGCUAAAUGUCGCAAUAUUUGCUCCGCAACAUUUAUUUAAAUCAUGUCAAUUAAUAUAUUUAGCAGCAUUACAUGAUAAUUGCCGCUAGAUUUAAUUAUUUAGUAGCAAUUUACUAUUAAUGUUGCAAAAUAAGAUAAAUUAGUAGCAUAAAUUAGUGAAUGCCGCUAAAUAUAAUAAACUAGCAGCACUUGUUACUAAAUAUCAUUACUAAUUAAUAUAUAAUUAUUAAUAUAUCUAUUUUUUAUUUAGAAUUAAAAAUUUUAAAAUUAAAUUUUAAAAUUCGAAACAUAUAAUUUUUAAAAUUAAACUAAUAAUUUAAAAUUUAAAAUUCUAAAAUUUAUAUUUUAAAUUUUAAAUUCUAAAAUUAUUAAUUUUUAAAGUUUAAAUUUUUAAAUUUAUUUUAAAUUUCAAAUUUCAAAUUUAAAACUCUUAAUUUUGAAACUUAAAAUUUCAUAUUUCAAAAUUAAAAAUUUAAAUUUAGUAUCUAAAUUUAAAAUUUUAAAAUUUAAAAUUUAAAAAUUUUAAAAUAUAAGACUUAAAAUAUAAAAAAUUUAAAUAUACAUAACUAAUAGUCGCUAGCACAAGUGGCAAAAGGCUUGGUUGUUGGUACUCGAGGUCUCAAGUUCGAAACCUAGUUGAUUCACAUUUCUAGCAAAGUAUAAGACAAAAAGAAUAAAUGAAGCGGGUAGCAUCUCAAAAAAAUUACAAUUUUAAAAUUUUAAUUUCUAAAAUCAGAUAUUUGUAUUAGCGGCAUAUUAUUUAUGUGCCGCUAAUAAACAAUUUAAAAUUUGCAUUUAAUCUCUUUUAGCGGCAUAUUCCUAAUGACACUAAUUGAUUUAUAUUGGCGGUAUUUAUAAUUAAUGCUGCUAAUACUUUUAGCAACAUUGACAUAGGCAGCAUUUGGUGUCAUAUGCUGCAAAAACUUUUAGCAGCAUUUGUUAAUCAUUUAGCAACAUAAAUAAAUGCCGCUAAUGACUAAUUUUCUAGUAGUGAAUUACAUAUUUCUCACUAUAAAAC
rnacentral:lncRNA from 1 species